rnacentral:rRNA from 1 species
UACAGAGGUCUCAACCGUUGUUCGGAUUCAUUGGGCGUAAAGGGUGCGUAGGCGGUCGUGCAAGUCGGAUGUGAAAUCUCAGGGCUCAACCCUGAAACUGCAUUCGAUACUGCGCGGCUAGAGUGCUGGAGGGGAGACUGGAAUUUACGGUGUAGCAGUGAAAUGCGUAGAUAUCGUAAGGAAGACCAGUGGCGAAGGCGAGUCUCUGGACAGCAACUGACGCUGAGGCGCGAAAGCGUGGGGAGCAAACAGG